rfam:Medicago truncatula strain A17 chromosome 1, whole genome shotgun sequence.
GAGCAGAUGAUGAAAUAAAACCAUUAGUUGCUUAUUGGUUAUUCCAUGAAGCUAUGCUAAUCGAGCUUUUUAAAACUGAUGCUCA